UACGUAGGGGGCUAGCGUUGUCCGGAAUCAUUGGGCGUAAAGCGCGCGUAGGCGGCCAGAUAAGUCCGGUGUGAAAGCCACAGGCUCAACCUGUGAAUGCCGCUGGAAACUGUCUGGCUAGAGUCCGGGAGGGGCGAGUGGAAUUCCUGGUGUAGCGGUGAAAUGCGCAGAUAUCAGGAGGAACACCAAUGGCGAAGGCGGCAUCCUGGACCGAUAUUGACGCUGAUGCGCGAAAGCCAGGGGAGCAAACGGG
rnacentral:rRNA from 1 species